UCCGGGGGAGACCAUAUUUGCUUGAACUAUGGGUAUAAUUAUUGACCAGAGACAAUUCUAUACACCUGGAGCAGCCCAUGUAAGUUCAGCUGCUAAUAACAGCUGACUUUGCAAUGUUCAGGUACCAGCCUAUUAUCUUUUUUAUGUGGCCUUUCUUAAUAUUUUAAGUCCUUAAUUAGGUGUGAAUAUCAGCUUCAGAGAUCAACAGGUGUGUAAUGAUUACCCUAGCUUUUUACUGCUAACGAGUAUCUGCAGCAGUAGCAAAAAAAUGUGAGUCACUUAUUUACUAGCCCCCACUAUAAUGACCUGAGCACUUAAGUGCACUGCCUGUUGUUUGAGUAUCUCAAAACCCUUUACAAAUGUUAUUAUGGCAGUUAAGCAUCUUGACAUGUCUGCCAUUUACCAGUCGCUAGCUUGUGAUCCCGCCGAAGUUUGACCUGAAGCAAUGGGAAGGCCAAGGUAAGAGAGUAAAUUAUGGACAGUUCCGAGUAUAUAAUCCAGAGUCCCAACUCUUAACUAUCAAUUUUCUAUAAUUAGGUUAUUAAUAAUAGGAGGAUGAUAAAUAUUUUCUUUAGGAGCAGCUGCUAAAUAUAGGCAUAAACCCACCCCUGGGCAUAAUACAGUAAUAUGAUAGUAGCUAGUGAGGCUGUUCCACAUAUGUGUUUGACUCAGUUGCUUAAAAGAAGUCCUGCAUUUAUUCUGCAGUUGGCCUUUUAAGAAAACUCUAUUAGGUACUUAAAUGCAGCAUCCCAAGCUCAUAAAUGCUGUCAAAUUGCUAUGCCCUCCCUAUUCUGGUGCUGUUAAAACCCAGUUCUCCAUAUAGAUAUAAAGCUCAUCCCUCUUCAUUGACAACCAGGAUGCUUCAGCUUGCACAUCCUGGUCUCUGUAAUUUCCUUCUUCCCCCCUUCCUCCUAUUCUACUGUCUUAAGAAGCAAUGUCCAGCCAACUUGGACUGGGCCGCAGAAAUUUCAGUUCCUGCUCUGCUGUAAUAAGAAACAGCAGGAAGCAAUGCGGCAUCGCUACUGCCGACCAACCAAGGGGAUUCCUCCUGGGUUAUGGAGGAGCAGGCUGCUUUAGCAGCAGAAGUCUCUGCGGGAUGAGGUCUGGCAGGCGUGGUGCAGCUACAAGCCGCUGCAACCCUGCGAGCUACGGAUUUGGCUAUGGUGGUCUUGGAAGUGGGUAUGGCUGUUGCAUCACUCAACACAGUGAUGGCAAUGUGCAUUAUGGUUCCUUUGAUACCAGCUAUGGCCUGGCAGGCUCUGGAACUGGUGGACCAUGCACAUGGGCCGUUGCACCCAUAACCAUCGACAAGAACCUGCUCCAACUUCUUGACCUGGAAAUCAAUGCCACUGCCUCAGCAAUGAAGCAUCGGGGAAGGAAGAACUCAAGUCUCUCAACAGCAAACUGGCCUGUUUCAUCACCAAGGUGAGCCAAGGAUUCAGAGUUUGAUGUUGAGGCUGAGCCAUAGAAAUAAACUUGACCCAAACUUGGUGUUGACUUUGGCAGCAGUACUUGUACAUGGGCUAUUUAUUGUGCAAGGAUAUAUUUCUGAAUAUCCCCUAAUGGCAGCAGAGAUUGAUUCAACGGGAAUUGAGUUCCCUCUCAUCUUCAUUUAUCUUAUUUGACUGAAAGACUUGAGUUGUCUAAGUCCUUGAUCUGAAUUGAUUUUCUUCGUUUUCCCACAGUCUGGGAAUCAAAUCCCAUAGAUUCUUCUGGGCCAUCCUCCACCUCAUUAGCUUUAACAAUUUUUAAUCCUUUUCCUGUGGCUAUUCAGGUGCAGAUCCUGGAGCAACACAACAUAGGGCUGAAGACCAAGCGGGACUUCAUCCAGAAGAGAAAGCUCUCCAAAAAUCACACUAAGCCCCUGCUUGAUAUGUAUAUCAGUAAUCUGGAGAAGCAGACUGAUUUUCUUGAUAACGAGAGAAGUCAGCUGGAAGUAGAAAUGAAGAAAUGGCAGGCGACUUUGGAGCAUAACAAGACAAAGUACGAAGAGGAACGUAGUCAGUGAAGACAUGCUGAUAAUGAGUUUGUAGCACUGAAGAAGACAGACCGAUGAGAUAACACAGCAAAUUGACGGCAACUUUUACCACCCUACAAGGUACAGACUGUGUCUUCAUGAGGAUGGGAGAACUAGAAGCCAAGUCUGAAGCCCAGGUUGAAAAUCUCAGCCUCUCAAGAGCUGUGUUUGAACAGGAACUCGGUGAGCACCAGAGCUGUGUUUCAUUUGCUGUGACUGUGCAAAUGAACAACAGCCGAGGCCUGGACAUGGGGAACGUCAUCAGUGGGUUCAGAGCUCGAUAUGAUGAGAUUGCUUCCAGGAGCCGAGCUGAGGCAGGAGGUUGGUGCCAGAGAGAGGUGAGUGAUCGAGGCUCUUCCCUUGGGUGGAUCCUCCUAAGAAACAACCCCAUAUCUCUCCCUGCUGCUGCAUUGAUGGAGACUCCCUCUGUCUUCUCUCUCCAUAA